AUUUAAAUAGCUUAAUUAUUAGAGCGUAACACUGAAGAUGUUAAAGAGAUUGACAAAAAUCUUUAAAUA
rnacentral:tRNA from 1 species